rnacentral:rRNA from 1 species
GACAGAGGGGGCAAGCGUUGCUCGGAAUUACUGGGCGUAAAGGGCGCGUAGGCGGGAUGGCAAGUCGGUCGUGAAAUCCCUCGGCUCAACUGAGGAUCGUCGAUCGAUACUGCCGUUCUUGAGGAUUGCAGAGGAGACUGGAAUUCCCGGUGUAGCGGUGAAAUGUGUAGAGAUCAGGAGGAACACCGGUGGCGAAGGCGGGUCUCUGGGCCGAUACUGACGCUGAGGAGCGAAAGCGUGGGGAGCGAACAGG